rnacentral:rRNA from 1 species
CGCGUAGGCGGCUCGGUAAGUCUGGAGUGAAAAGUCCUGCUUUUAAGGUGGGAAUUGCUUUGGAUACUGUCGGGCUUGAGUGCAGGAGAGGUUAGUGGAAUUCCCAGUGUAGCGGUGAAAUGCGUAGAGAUUGGGAGGAACACCAGUGGCGAAGGCGACUAACUGGACUGUAACUGACGCUGAGGCGCGAAAGUGUGGGGAGCAAACA